AUUGAAUGCUGGCGGCAUGCGUAACACAUGCAAGUCGAACGGUUUCUGGUGCUUGCACCGGAGAUAGUGGCGGACGGGUGAGUAAUACGUAGGAAUCUGUCUUAGAGAGGGGGACAACCUGAGGAAACUUAGGCUAAAACCGCAUAAACUCGGAAGAGAAAAGCAGGGGACCGGAAACGGCCUUGUGCUCUAAGGUGAGCCUACGUCGGAUUAGCUAGUUGGUGGGGUAAAGGCCUACCAAGGCGAUGAUCUGUAGCUGGUCUGAGAGGACGGACAGCCACACUGGGACUGAGACACGGCCCAGACUCCUACGGGAGGCAGCAGUGGGGAAUAUUGGACAAUGGGGGGAACCCUGAUCCAGCGAUGCCGCGUGUGUGAAGAAGGCCUGCGGGUUGUAAAGCACUUUCAGUUGGAAAGAGAAGCGAGAUGAGAAUAUUGUUUCGUGGAGACGUUACUAACAGAAGAAGCACCGGCUAACUCUGUGCCAGCCGCCGCGGUAA
rnacentral:rRNA from 1 species